rnacentral:rRNA from 1 species
UAUCUCUGUAGAGUCUGCAUAUCAAUAAGCGGAGGAAAAGAAACUAACAUAGGAUUCCCUCAGUAACGGCGAGUGAAGCGGGAAGAGCUCAAAUUUGAAAUCUUCAAGGUUUUACCUUGACGAAUUGUAGUUUAAAGAAGUGUUUUCUGUUGGUAGUUUUGGUAAAAGUUCUUUGGAAUAGGACAUCAUAGAGGGUGAGAAUCCCGUAUUUGACCAUUAUUUCCAGCUUUGUGAUACACUUUCAAAGAGUCGGAUUGUUUGGGAAUGCAGUCCAAAAUGGGUGGUAAAUUUCAUCUAAAGCUAAAUAUUGGCGAGAGACCGAUAGCGAACAAGUACCGUGAGGGAAAGAUGAAAAGAACUUUGAAAAGAGAGUUAAACAGUACGUGAAAUUGUCAAAAGGGAAGCGUUUGACACCAGUGUUGUUUUCUCGAAAAUCAAUUAAAAAAAGUUGGAUUUUGUAUUGUUAAGACCUUAUCAGCUUACUGUACUCUUUUCUUGCUUUUUUUAAUGCACUUUUCGUUUAACAAGUCAACAUCAAUUUCUUUUGUUGUAAAAGAGUCAUUGGAAGGUGGCUUUCACUUCGGUGAAAGUGUUUAUAGCCUUUGGCUUCUGCAAUCGGAGAGAUUGAGGUCUGCAGCGUAGAUCCUUCGGGGCUAGAUAACAGUUAGAUGCUAAGUUAUAGCAUUUUUAUAGACAACUUGUUGACUAUAAUUUAAUCAUUGUAGCUUACUCGCUUAUGGUUAUUCUACCUACGCUUAGGAUGUUGACGAUCAGCUGAGCGCG